AGCGAACGCUGGCGGCAUGCUUAACACAUGCACGUCGCGCGGUCAGUAAUGGCAGCGGCGGACGGGUGAGUAACGCGUAGGAACGUGUCUAGAGGUGGGGGACAACCCUGGGAAACUGGGGCUAAUACCGCAUAUGGGCUGAGGCCCAAAGCAGUGAUGCGCCUUUGGAGCGGCCUGCGUCCGAUUAGGUAGUUGGUGGGGUAAAGGCCUACCAAGCCUGCGAUCGGUAGCUGGUCUGAGAGGACGAUCAGCCACACUGGGACUGAGACACGGCCCAGACUCCUACGGGAGGCAGCAGUGGGGAAUAUUGGACAAUGGGCGCAAGCCUGAUCCAGCAAUGCCGCGUGUGUGAAGAAGGUCUUCGGAUCGUAAAGCACUUUCGACAGGGACGAUGAUGACGGUACCUGUAGAAGAAGCCCCGGCUAACUUCGUGCCAGCAGCCGCGGUAAU
rnacentral:rRNA from 1 species